GUAGCUGGUCUGAGAGGACGAUCAGCCACACUGGAACUGAGACACGGUCCAGACUCCUACGGGAGGCAGCAGUGGGGAAUUUUGGACAAUGGGCGCAAGCCUGAUCCAGCCAUGCCGCGUGAGAGAAGAAGGCCUUCGGGUUGUAAAGCUCUUUCGGUGAAGACGAAACGGUUCGUGCCAAUAACACGGACUAAUGACGGUACUCACAGAAGAAGCACCGGCUAACUACGUGCCAGCAGCCGCGGUAAUACGUAGGGUGCAGGCGUUAAUCGGAAUUACUGGGCGUAAAGCGUGCGCAGGCGGUUUGCUAAGACAGGUGUGAAAUCCCCGAGCUUAACUUGGGAAUUGCGCUUGUAACUGGCAAGCUAGAGUGUGGCAGAGGGGGGUGGAAUUCCACGUGUAGCAGUGAAAUGCGUAGAUAUGUGGAGGAACACCGAUGGCGAAGGCAGCCCCCUGGGUUAACACUGACGCUCAUGCACGAAAGCGUGGGGAGCAAACAGGAUUAGAUACCCUGGUAGUCCACGCCCUAAACUAUGUCAACUAGUUGUCGGGGAAGAAAUUCCUUGGUAACGAAGCUAACGCGUGAAGUUGACCGCCUGGGGAGUACGGCCGCAAGGUUAAAACUCAAAGGAAUUGACGGGGACCCGCACAAGCGGUGGAUUAUGUGGAUUAAUUCGAUGCAACGCGAAAAACCUUACCUACCCUCGACAUGCUAGGAAGCCCGCAGAGAUGUGGGUGUGCCCGAAAGGGAACCUAGACACAGGUGCUGCAUGGCUGUCGUCAGCUCGUGUCGUGAGAUGUUGGGUUAAGUCCCGCAACGAGCGCAACCCUUGCCAUUAGUUGCGACAUUUAGUUGAGCACUCUAAUGGGACCGCCGGUGGCAAACCGGAGGAAGGUGGGGAUGACGUCAAGUCCUCAUGGCCCUUAUGGGUAGGGCUUCACACGUAAUACAAUGGUCGGUACAGAGGGCUGCCAACCCGCGAGGGGGAGCUAAUCCCAGAAAGCCGAUCGUAGUCCGGAUUGUAGUCUGCAACUCGACUGCAUGAAGCCGGAAUCGCUAGUAAUCGCGGAUCAGCAUGUCGCGGUGAAUACGUUCCCGGGUCUUGUACACACCGCCCGUCACACCAUGGGAGUGGGUUCCACCAGAAGUAGGUAGCCUAACCGCAAGGGGGGCGCUUACCACGGUGAGAUUCAUGACUGGGGUGAAGUCGUAACAAGGUA
rnacentral:rRNA from 1 species